rnacentral:rRNA from 1 species
GACAAUGGGCGCAAGCCUGAUCCAGCAAUGCCGCGUGAGUGAAGAAGGCCUUCCGGUUGUAAAGCUUUUUUGUCAGGGAAGAAACGGGUGAGGUUAAUACCUUUGCCUAAUGACGGUACCUGAAGAAUAAGCACCCGGCUAACUACGUGCCAGCAGCCGCGGUAAUACGUAGGGUGCAAGCGUUAAUCGGAAUUACUGGGCGUAAAGCGUGCGCAGGCGGUUGUGCAAGACAGAUGUGAAAUCCCCGGGCUCAACCUGGGAAUUGCAUUUGUGACUGCACGGCUAGAGUGUGUCAGAGGGGGGUAGAAUUCCACGUGUAGCAGUGAAAUGCGUAGAGAUGUGGAGGAAUACCGAUGGCGAAGGCAGCCCCCUGGGAUAACACUGACGCUCAUGCACGAAAGCGUGGGGAGCAAACAGGAUUAGAUACCCUGGUAGUCCACGCCCUAAACGAUGUCUACUAGUUGUCGGGUCUUAAUUGACUUGGUAACGCAGCUAACGCGUGAAGUAGACCGCCUGGGGAGUACGGUCGCAAGAUUAAAACUCAAAGGAAUUGACGGGGACCCGCACAAGCGGUGGAUGAUGUGGAUUAAUUCGAUGCAACGCGAAAAACCUUACCUACCCUUGACAUGUACGGAAUCCUUGAGAGAUCAGGGAGUGCUUGAAAGAGAGCCGUAACACAGGUGCUGCAUGGCUGUCG